UAGACCCGAAACCCGGUGAUCUAGCCAUGGGCAGGUUGAAGGUUGGGUAACACUAACUGGAGGACCGAACCGACUAAUGUUGAAAAAUUAGCGGAUGACUUGUGGCUGGGGGUGAAAGGCCAAUCAAACCGGGAGAUAGCUGGUUCUCCCCGAAAGCUAUUUAGGUAGCGCCUCGUGAAUUCAUCUCCGGGGGUAGAGCACUGUUUCGGCAAGGGGGUCAUCCCGACUUACCAACCCGAUGCAAACUGCGAAUACCGGAGAAUGUUAUCACGGGAGACACACGGCGGGUGCUAACGUCCGUCGUGAAGAGGGAAACAACCCAGACCGCCAGCUAAGGUCCCAAAGUCAUGGUUAAGUGGGAAACGAUGUGGGAAGGCCCAGACAGCCAGGAUGUUGGCUUAGAAGCAGCCAUCAUUUAAAGAAAGCGUAAUAGCUCACUGGUCGAGUCGGCCUGCGCGGAAGAUGUAACGGGGCUAAACCAUGCACCGAAGCUGCGGCAGCGACACUGUGUGUUGUUGGGUAGGGGAGCGUUCUGUAAGCCUGUGAAGGUGUGCUGUGAGGCAUGCUGGAGGUAUCAGAAGUGCGAAUGCUGACAUAAGUAACGAUAAAGCGGGUGAAAAGCCCGCUCGCCGGAAGACCAAGGGUUCCUGUCCAACGUUAAUCGGGGCAGGGUGAGUCGACCCCUAAGGCGAGGCCGAAAGGCGUAGUCGAUGGGAAACAGGUUAAUAUUCCUGUACUUGGUGUUACUGCGAAGGGGGGACGGAGAAGGCUAUGUUGGCCGGGCGACGGUUGUCCCGGUUUAAGCGUGUAGGCUGGUUUUCCAGGCAAAUCCGGAGAAUCAAGGCUGAGGCGUGAUGACGAGGCACUACGGUGCUGAAGCAACAAAUGCCCUGCUUCCAGGAAAAGCCUCUAAGCAUCAGGUAACAUCAAAUCGUACCCCAAACCGACACAGGUGGUCAGGUAGAGAAUACCAAGGCGCUUGAGAGAACUCGGGUGAAGGAACUAGGCAAAAUGGUGCCGUAACUUCGGGAGAAGGCACGCUGAUAUGUAGGUGAAGCGACUUGCUCGUGGAGCUGAAAUCAGUCGAAGAUACCAGCUGGCUGCAACUGUUUAUUAAAAACACAGCACUGUGCAAACACGAAAGUGGACGUAUACGGUGUGACGCCUGCCCGGUGCCGGAAGGUUAAUUGAUGGGGUCAGCGCAAGCGAAGCUCUUGAUCGAAGCCCCGGUAAACGGCGGCCGUAACUAUAACGGUCCUAAGGUAGCGAAAUUCCUUGUCGGGUAAGUUCCGACCUGCACGAAUGGCGUAAUGAUGGCCAGGCUGUCUCCACCCGAGACUCAGUGAAAUUGAACUCGCUGUGAAGAUGCAGUGUACCCGCGGCAAGACGGAAAGACCCCGUGAACCUUUACUAUAGCUUGACACUGAACACUGGUCCUUGAUGUGUAGGAUAGGUGGGAGGCUUUGAAGUGUGGACGCCAGUCUGCAUGGAGCCGUCCUUGAAAUACCACCCUUUAAUGGCUGGUGUUCUAACGUGGGCCCGUAAUCCGGGUUGCGGACAGUGUCUGGUGGGUAGUUUGACUGGGGCGGUCUCCUCCUAAAGAGUAACGGAGGAGCACGAAGGUUGGCUAAUCCUGGUCGGACAUCAGGAGGUUAGUGCAAUGGCAUAAGCC
rnacentral:rRNA from 1 species